UGCAGAUGAUGUUGAUCUCACGAUGGUCUUCCAAGCCCUUUGGGCUCUGACGACAUUGCCUUAUGGCAUCACUGAUGCAGCUCG